rnacentral:rRNA from 1 species
ACACCGGCCGCUCAAGUGGUAGCCGCUUUUAUUGGGCCUAAAGCGUCCGUAGCCGGUCUGAUAAGUCUCUGGUGAAAUCCCACAGCUUAACUGUGGGAAUUGCUGGAGAUACUAUCAUGACUCGAGGUCGGGAGAGGCUGGAGGUACUCCCAGGGUAGGGGUGAAAUCCUGUAAUCCUGGGAGGACCACCUGUGGCGAAGGUGUCGAGCUGGAACGACCCUGACGGUGAGGGACGAAAGCCAGGGGCGCGAACCGGAUUAGAUACCCGGGUAGUCCUGGCCGUAAACGAUGUGGACUUGGUGUUGGGAUGGCUUCGAGCUGCCCCAGUGCCGAAGGGAAGAUGUUAAGUCCACCGCCUGGGAAGUACGGCCGCAAGGCUGAAACUUAAAGGAAUUGACGGGG